rnacentral:rRNA from 1 species
AAUCAACGCUGGCGGCGUGCCUCAGACAUGCAAGUCGAACGCGAAAGUCCCCUUCGGGGGCGAGUAGAGUGGCGCACGGGUGAGUAACACGUAGGUAAUCUACCCCCGAGUGGGGAAUAACUCAGGGAAACUUGAGCUAAUACCGCAUAAUGCAGCGGCACCACAUGGUGACAGUUGUUAAAGCAUUUAUGCGCUUGGGGAGGAGCCUGCGGCAGAUUAGCUAGUUGGUAAGGUAAUGGCUUACCAAGGCUACGAUCUGUAACCGGCCUGAGAGGGCGGACGGUCACACUGACACUGAAUAACGGGUCAGACUCCUACGGGAGGCAGCAGUCGGGAAUUUUGGGCAAUGGGCGAAAGCCUGACCCAGCAACGCCGCGUGAAGGAUGAAAUCUUU